URGGUUCUCUGCUCUUCAUCAGGCCUUUAGGUCCCAGAGCUCCUGCGUCUCCACCGUCGCUGAGCUGCCAGGGACUUACAAGGCUGCUGAAACCUGCUUGAACAGAGAAUCUUCGUGGGAGAGUUCUGACAGGUUGGCGCACYGGCAGCUGAUUCCGAGUAAUUGGCUGGUGGACUUUUAAGAAGCAGAGGAGCAAUCACUCAUCGCUCAAUGGUCCCUCUUGUUGAACCUGACGAGCUGUUGGAAUCAAACCAGGAACCAAGUCCGGASUUUGAGAUCGCAAGACCGAACAUCUUUGCCUGCCGCUCUCCUCCCCACUCCAUCAUUGAUCUUCAGUACGUUCCCGGAUCCUAGCCUUUCUCCUCUGCGCAACCACCGUCCGAGAGACCAACCCGAGCUGACCUGCCUACCCGUUCUCUGGAGCACAAUCUGAUUUAAUUUUUGGAAAGAACYUCCAUUAAACUUUCACUGAUCAAUAUUCUCUGGYUUUAUGUGUGAACUUGCAUGUGGGUCAAGGAACUCAAAUCCAGCAUGACAGCCUCUCUCUGCGUUCACAAAYACKGAGCCUUUUAAAAAUAUAUUUCUACGAAAUGUUAAAAGAUAAAGAUCCAUAAACUGAAAACCAGCAUGCACUGUUGAUCUUCGGWAAAUACUAAAAAGUCAGAAUUAAAUCAUCUACAGAGAAUAUUCAAGAAAUUUUAUUUAUACACAUAAUGAAAAGGAGCAGCGAGUGACUUAUAGCAACUUAAACAUUUCCUAAUUUUAACUGAGCUAGCAAAGUAAGCAGAGUGAGAAUAUGUUUUCUGUUGGUGGAAGAGGAAAAAAACGCUUGUGUAUGUUGAUAGAGUUCAUUGUUUGCAAUUUUGUAACGGGUGAGUUAAACACGGUGAUGUUUGCUUGGUUACCGAAGA